GACGAACGCUGGCGGCGUGCUUAACACAUGCAAGUCGAACGAAGUGGCGAACGGGUGAGUAACGCGUAAUCAACCUGCCCUUCAGAGGGGGACAACAGUUGGAACCGACUGCUAAUACCGCAUACGGAAGGAGGGGCUUGCGUCGGAUUAGCUAGUUGGAGGGGUAACGGCCCACCAAGGCGAUGAUCAGUAGGCGGUCUGAGAGGAUGAACGGCCACAUGGGGACUGAGACACGGCCCAGACUCCUACGGGAGGCAGCAGUGGGGAAUCUUCCGCAAUGGACGAAAGUCUGACGGAGCAACGCCGCGUGAGUGAUGACGGCCUUCGGGUUGUAAAGCUCUGUUAAUCGGGACGCGGUACCGGAAUAGAAAGCCACGGCUAACUACGUGCCAGCAGCCGCGGUAAUUC
rnacentral:rRNA from 1 species